AUUGAACGCUGGCGGCAGGCCUAACACAUGCAAGUCGAACGAGUGGCGGACGGGUGAGUAAUGUCUGGGAAACUGCCUUAUGGAGGGGGAUAACUACUGGAAACGGUAGCUAAUACAGCAUACCAUCAGAUGUGCCCAGAUGGGAUUAGCUGUUUGGUGGGGUAACGGCUCACCAAGGCGACGAUCCCUAGCUGGGCUGCGAGGAUGACCGGCCACACUGGAACUGAGACACGGUCCAGACGCCUACGGGAGGCAGCAGUUGGGAAUAUUGCACAAUGGGCGCAAGCCGGAGGCAGCCAUGCCGCGUGUAUGAAGAAGGCCUUCGGGUUGUAAAGUACUUUCAGCGGGGAGGCGUUACCCGCAGAAGAAGCACCGGCUAACUCCGUGCCAGCAGCCGCGGUUAAUUC
rnacentral:rRNA from 1 species